rnacentral:rRNA from 1 species
CACAAGUAUAAAACUAUUGUAUUAUGGCGGCACUUUAUAAAACUAAAGGAACUUGUUUAUUAAUCGAAAACACACGCUAAUUUUCUCUUAUUUAUAAAGCCUAUAUACCGCCGUUUAGAUUUAACUUCAACUCAUAAUCUAUAUUAAAAACUUAAAACAUCAGGUCAAGGUGUAGCUUUUACAUAAGAUUAAAUGAGUUACACUAAAUAAAACUUAAGAAUUUUAAUUUAAAAACUACAAUGAAAAAGAAUUUAAAAGUAAAUUUAAAUUAAAAAUUUAAAUUAAAUCAUCCUAAAAUGUGC